rnacentral:rRNA from 1 species
GGGUGGAAAGUGGCGAACGGGUGAGUAACACGUUGGUGACCUGCCCUGAGGAGGGGAAGUACCGUGGGAGACCACGGCUAAUACCCCGGAUGUCUAAGCUGUUAGAGGGCUUAGACUAAAGCCCCUGCAAUGGGUGCGCCUCGGGAGGGGCCUGCGGGCUAUCAGCUUGUUGGUGGGGUAAUGGCUUACCAAGGCGAAGACGGCUAGGGGGCGUGAGAGCGCGACCCCCCACAAUGGAACUGAGACACGGGGGAUACUCCUACUGGAGGCAGCAGUGAGGAAUAGUUGCGCAAUGGGGGCAACCCUGACGCAGCAACGCCGCGUGGACGAUGAAGGCCUUCGGGUUGUAAAGUCCUUUUCUGAAGGAAGAUAGUGACGGUACUUCAGGAAUAAGUCCCGGCUAACUACGUGCCAGCAGCCGCGGUACAACGUAUGGGGCGAGCGUUAUCCGGAUUUACUGGGCGUAAAGCGCACGUAGGCGGCAUCAUAAGUUGGACGUGAAAGCUCCCGGCUCAACUGGGAGAGGUCGUUCAAAACUGUGG